GACGAACGCUGGCGGCGUGCCUAAUACAUGCAAGUAGAACGCUGAAGGAGGAGCUUGCUUCUCUGGAUGAGUUGCGAACGGGUGAGUAACGCGUAGGUAACCUGCCUGGUAGCGGGGGAUAACUAUUGGAAACGAUAGCUAAUACCGCAUAAGAGUAGAUGUUGCAUGACAUUUGCUUAAAAGGUGCAAUUGCAUCACUACCAGAUGGACCUGCGUUGUAUUAGCUAGUUGGUGGGGUAACGGCUCACCAAGGCGACGAUACAUAGCCGACCUGAGAGGGUGCUCGGCCACACUGGGACUGAGACACGGCCCAGACUCCUACGGGAGGCAGCAGUAGGGAAUCUUCGGCAAUGGACGGAAGUCUGACCGAGCAACGCCGCGUGAGUGAAGAAGGUUUUCGGAUCGUAAAGCUCUGUUGUAAGAGAAGAACGAGUGUGAGAGUGGAAAGUUCACACUGUGACGGUAUCUUACCAGAAAGGGACGGCUAACUACGUG
rnacentral:rRNA from 1 species